UACGUAGGGUCCAAGCGUUAAUCGGAAUUACUGGGCGUAAAGCGUGCGCAGGCGGCUUCGCAAGUCAGACGUGAAAUCCCCGGGCUUAACCUGGGAAUGGCGUUUGAAACUACUUGGCUAGAGUGUGGCAGAGGGAGGUGGAAUUCCACGUGUAGCGGUGAAAUGCGUAGAGAUGUGGAGGAACACCGAUGGCGAAGGCAGCCUCCUGGGCCAACACUGACGCUCAUGCACGAAAGCGUGGGGAGCAAACAGG
rnacentral:rRNA from 1 species